UGGAAAAUUCAAGAUCAGAGUUUGGCUAUUUGGUGAAGGCUGCUCUCUGCUACCAAGAUGGCACCUUGUUGUUCUGUCCUCUGGCAGGAAGAAUCCUGGGUCCUCAUUUAGCAGGAAGCAGAAGGUCAGGUGAAAGGGUGCUUAAUGCAGUGGAUUGUGACAGACGUUUUAUCAGCACAUGGACAACUUGGGGCCAUGGAGAUAUAUCACUGAAAUGUUUUUCAAAAGAGGGUGAAACCUAGCUGACCAUGACAUCAGGAGAGGGAGAGGAACUCCUGCGGAGAGGCAGUGAUUGCACCGUCCAACGUUUACCUGACUCACCGCACGUGAUAUUUUUGGACUGCCAUGCCCUCGUAUGCUGCCUUAAUCACCCAUUGUAUUGAUGCUGCAUGGAUGUCAAUUUUACACCUUAUUUCUGUGCUACCUGUUGUCAGAAAUCUGUUUAGAUGCUGCCCCAGCAGCCUUUGUAGAUCUGGCAUAAAUUAAUUGGAACCUAGGCAUACCCAGUCAAUCUCCUUUGACCUGAGAAAAACUCUACGUCACUAUGUAGUAAAGAGAUUCAUCCCUUGUUUCUCUCACUAGAAACUAAUAGACCUCACAACUUGAGCCGAAUAAACACU